AAAGGAGGUUGGUCCUUCAGCCUGUAAUAGAUAGAAGUAGGUGUUUUCGGAAUUUAAUGAUACGAUCUUUCCCAUCUCUUCCUUGAGGUAGCAAUUCAGGCAUUUAUAUUGACAGUAUUUACUUAAUAUAAACCUAAGUUCAUUUAUUAUAUGUUUAUUUUAAAUUCAUGUACACUCCAAGAAAAAAAGUCCAGAAGAAAUUCCACCACAAAAAACUGCGUUAAGAUGGAGUCAAGUUUGUUGAUGUCCUUCUUGCAGGGCAUAUACGAAAAACACAGGAAGUCAUGAAUUGAGGUUCUUUCACAAUCUUUAGGAAUUACUUCCUCUUUUGGAAAAGAAAGUGCAUCAGAAGAAAAAAAAAAAAAAAAGAAAAAGAGCAGCUUAGCAUCUGCAACUCCGACCAUGUAUACAUUAUUUCUUGUGGUACUGUGCUAUAAGGUAUGUUACUAAGUCUGUCAGAUGUCUUAGGAGGAUAUUGUCCUAACACAGUGUUUACUCCAGAUUAACGCAGUAUUUUGUUUGGAAAUAUGUAGGUGUACAGAUAGAAUAAGAGAGAUAAAGUGGAUGAAACAAGUGUUGGACAUUUCUAUAUUUUUAUAUAUUAUGAAGGGCAUUUUUGAAAUUUUUCUUGCAGUUUUAGUAAUUAUUUAGCGUGGUAAUAUACAUAUAUUGUGACAGCGUUUUCUGCUAUAUCCAUUACUUUGGUGUAAUUCUGUUUUAUGUAGCAAAUAUGUGUAUAUACAAAGGAGAUUAUGUAAAAAUUAUGAUUAAAAAAAAUAGGCUGAAGCCCUUCAGAAUAGGGACCGUCUUCCUCUGUGUCUGCAAAGUACUAAAUGCCUUGGGGUCUCAGCCGGAGCUCAUGUCUGAGACCCGUGGUGACUGAAUUGCCAAGCGAUGAGUUGGGGGGAAGCAGCUCCUCUGCUUCCCGUGAGAAGCCUUAGUGCAAAAGGUGCCAUGAAGCUUUCCUUGCCAAUCCCUGGUGCUGGGGCUGUGCUGUUCAUGGUCAUUCCCAACACCACCUGCCAAGCAACCCAGAGAGCCCAGAGUCCAUGUAUCCUUUGCUCUGGUCCUUCCCUUUGACAGUAGAAAAGGAAGUCUGAGAAGAAGGUUUGGUGUCAUCAGGGAAUCUUCCUUGUUAGCAGGGUGACCCUUCCAGAGUCCAUUGGGUCCGCAUGCAGCGUCCUUUGAAGCUGAACAAAUGACUGAUGUUGACUUCAAGGGCCACUGGAUGUGCUCCUACAAGAUCAAGUUCUGCUGACAGCUCUGUUACACCUGAAGACCUGGUGUCAGGUUCUUCAGGAAUGGUCUAGAAAUACUGUAAAAAUAUAAAUAUAUUUAAUUACGUGUACUGAAAUACAAAUCCUAUUUGUUGUGGUCAGAGUUCAGAUAAUUACAGGAAUUUCGAUUUCUUGGUCAUACUUGCAUAUAUAUUGCUUUGACUGUUGUGUAUGAAAGAGGAAGUGAUUCUAAAGUCUGUGAAAGGUUGGGGUUACACCUGUUUUUUUAAUGGCCAUGUUAUUUAGGAAUGGAUGUCAGCGAAUUUAAGUCCGUAAUAAUGCAGUUUUUUGCAUUAGAACAUGUGUGUAUAUCAUACACCCACAUUUUAUAUAUAAUAUAUAUUUGGUACUAACUUUGUAUUUUCCCUGGAAUUUUGCCAAAUCGCAAACACAGAUGUUCUCACUUGUAAGACUUUGGUACUUAACUGAAUGUAUAAGAAAUGCUCUGGUAUGAAAGGAAAGAGUGUUACAUGGUGUCCCACAGUACAGGGACUCGACCAGCAGGCACGUUGCCUUUUUCACAUCUCGCUUCAUUGCAGCAUCACCUUUGAUCUCCUCAGAAGCAGUUCUGUGUCUCAGCCAAACUGCAGACAGCUGAAUACUGCCCUAGCAUGAAAGCUGACUGGUAGGUAGUAAGAAUACAGUAGUCACCAGUGUGCCACAAAUGCAUUUAUUAAAUGCAGAAAUAGACAUUUCUAGAAAGGCCAAAAUCUUAUGUUGUAUGUUCCUUUCUUGUCAUUACAUUGUAUCAUAUUGUAAGAUUAUUGUAUGUCCUAAUUUGCAUUAUAAAAUGUUUUUUCCUACUUAAAAGGCAUAAAUAUAGCAACUUUGUAUAAAGGUAGCUUUCUAGAUUUUUAUUUCUUUUAUAUGAAAAAGUCUAAACAGUGGGAGUACCAUUGCCAAAUUGUUUAUAAAAUUUCGAGUAAUUUUCCCUGUUAAAUGAAUUUGUUUUUACAAACAUUCCGUAUUUCUUAUACUAUGCAGAAAGAGUGUAUUUUUAUGUCAUUCCACAUUAAUCUUAAAAAAUUAAUUUCACUUGUUUUAAGCUGCCAUUAUUGAGAAAGCUUACCAAAUGUGCAUUUUUAAAAAAUGUGUUGUGUAUUAUGACAACAUUUUUCCCCCUUUACCAGUGCCAACUUCAUUUGGAAAAAAAAUAAAAAUUGUAGCAUGGCAAUAAACUCUUGAUUUUACAUUAAAAA